rnacentral:rRNA from 1 species
GCGAGGCCGAAAGGCGUAGUCGAUGGGAAACGGGUUAAUAUUCCCGUACUUGGUGUUACUGCGAAGGGGGGACGGAGAAGGCUAUGUUGGCCGGGCGACGGUUGUCCCGGUUUAAGCGUGUAGGUGUGUGUUCCAGGUAAAUCCGGUUCACUUUAACACUGAGGCGUGACGACGAGGCACUACGGUGCUGAAGCAACAAAUGCCCUGCUUCCAGGAAAAGCCUCUAAGCAUCAGGUAACAUCAAAUCGUACCCCAAACCGACACAGGUGGUCAGGUAGAGAAUACCAAGGCGCUUGAGAGAACUCGGGUGAAGGAACUAGGCAAAAUGGUGCCGUAACUUCGGGAGAAGGCACGCUGACAC